GUCUCCAUGGCUCAGCUGGUUAGAGCGCCGGUCUCAUAUCUUUCAAUAUGAGCAAUUGGUUCCUAAACAAUUGCAUUCAAUCCGGAGAUCGCGAGUUCGAACCUCGCUGGGGACA
rnacentral:tRNA from 1 species